rnacentral:rRNA from 1 species
GACAGAGGGUGCAAACGUUGUUCGGAAUUACUGGGCGUAAAGAGUGCGUAGGCGGUUCUCCAAGUCCGUUGUGAAAGCCCCGGGCUCAACCUGGGAAUGGCAGUGGAAACUAGGGGACUUGAAUCUGGCAGAGGGGGGUGGAAUGCCGCGUGUAGCAGUGAAAUGCGUAGAGAUGCGGCGGAACACCGAUGGCGAAGGCAGCCCCCUGGGCUGAGAUUGACGCUCAGGCACGAAAGCGUGGGGAGCAAACAGG